UGGAGAGCGGCCGCGUCGCGGCCCACCGAAGGGGCAGCCGGCCUUGCGCCGUAAACUCUCAGGUAAAAGGACAAGGGGA
rnacentral:ncRNA from 1 species